rnacentral:lncRNA from 1 species
CACGAACUGCAGACGCUGUCUCUGGCGACAAAGGGGCACCUGGUGGAGGAUGUUUUUCGAAUAAGAGGUCCGGAGAGCAGAGGGACGAUGACGGGUCCGGAGAGCAGAGGGACGAUGACGGGUUCCCAGUCGCCUGCGCCCUAGCCUCUCUUCAGUCCAUGCGCUUAACUCCUAAACGCUUUUCUCGCACACUUAAUACUCAUUGUUCCUCAGCUAUCUUACCCUCAAUACUCGGAGAACUGAAGACUGUGAACUCCUCCCCCCGAGUCUUCAGGGGUGAGAGCCGAAGCCAUCUGCAUGCCCAGCUGUGGGAUUUUCUUGUAGUUUCCUGUUCUAUCUGGCUAAAUCAUAAGCCUAGCUG